GAGUUUGAUCAUGGCUCAGAUUGAACGCUGGCGGAAUGCUUUACACAUGCAAGUCGAACGGCAGCACGGGAGCUUGCUCCUGGUGGCGAGUGGCGAACGGGUGAGUAAUAUAUCGGAACGUAUCCAAUAAUGGGGGAUAACUAGUCGAAAGAUUAGCUAAUACCGCAUACGCCCUGAGGGGGAAAGCUGGGGAUCUUCGGACCUGGCGUUAAUGGAGCGGCCGAUAUCUGAUUAGCUAGUUGGUGGGGUAAAGGCCCACCAAGGCGACGAUCAGUAGCUGGUCUGAGAGGACGACCAGCCACACUGGAACUGAGACACGGUCCAGACUCCUACGGGAGGCAGCAGUGGGGAAUUUUGGACAAUGGGCGCAAGCCUGAUCCAGCCAUUCCGCGUGAGUGAAGAAGGCCUUCGGGUUGUAAAGCUCUUUCGCAAGGGAAGAAAACUUAUCCUCUAACAUAGGAUGAGGUUGACGGUACCUUGAUAAGAAGCACCGGCUAACUACGUGCCAGCAGCCGCGGUAAUACGUAGGGUGCGAGCGUUAAUCGGAAUUACUGGGCGUAAAGCGUGCGCAGGCGG
rnacentral:rRNA from 1 species